rnacentral:misc_RNA from 1 species
GAUCAAGAACGCAGCGAAAUGCGAUAAGUAAUGUGAAUUGCAGAAUUCAGUGAAUCAUCGAAUCUUUGAACGCACAUUGCGCCCCUUGGUAUUCCGAGGGGCAUGCCUGUUCGAGCGUCAUUAUAACCCUCAAGCUCAGCUUGGUGUUGGGGCCUGCUGCACUGGCAGCCCUUAAAAUCAGUGGCGGCGCCAUCUGGCUCUAAGCGUAGUAAUUCUUCUCGCUAUGGAGUCCUGGUGGAUGCUUGCCAUCAACCCCCAAUUUUUCUAUGGUUGACCUCGGAUCAGGUAGGGAUACCCGCUGAACUUAAGCAUAUCAAUAAGCGGAGGA